rnacentral:rRNA from 1 species
GACGAACGCUGGCGGCGUGCUUAACACAUGCAAGUCGAACGCUGAAGCUCAGCUUUUGUUGGGUGGAUGAGUGGCGAACGGGCGAGUAACACGUGAGUAACCUGCCCCCUUCUUUGGGAUAACGCCCGGAAACGGGUGCUAAUACUGGAUAUUCACUGGUCUUCGCAUGGGGGUUGGUGGAAAGGGUUUUUCUGGUGGGGGAUGGGCUCGCGGCCUAUCAGCUUGUUGGUGGGGUGAUGGCCUACCAAGGCUUUGACGGGUAGCCGGCCUGAGAGGGUGACCGGUCACAUUGGGACUGAGAUACGGCCCAGACUCCUACGGGAGGCAGCAGUGGGGAAUAUUGCACAAUGGGCGCAAGCCUGAUGCAGCGACGCCGCGUGAGGGAUGGAGGCCUUCGGGUUGUGAACCUCUUUCGCUCAUGGUCAAGCCGCAACAAUGGUUGUGGUGAGGGUAGUGGGUAAAGAAGCGCCGGCUAACUACGUG